rnacentral:rRNA from 1 species
UACAGAGACCUCAAGCGUUAUCCGGAAUCAUUGGGCGUAAAGCGUACCGAUAGGUGGUUUUACAAGUCAGAGGUGAAAUCCCAAGGCUCAACUUUGGGACUGUCCUUUGAAACUGUACAACUAGAGGGGCAAGGAGGAAGCUGGAACGAACGGUGUAGUAGUGAAAUGCGUUGAUAUCGUUCGGAACACCAAUAGCGUAGGCAGGCUUCUGGGUGCCACCUGACACUGCUAGGACGAAAGCGUGGGGAGCGAAUGGG